rnacentral:rRNA from 1 species
AUUGAACGCUGGCGGCAUGCCUUACACAUGCAAGUCGAACGGCAGCACGGGUGCUUGCACCUGGUGGCGAGUGGCGAACGGGUGAGUAAUACAUCGGAACAUGUCCUGUAGUGGGGGAUAGCCCGGCGAAAGCCGGAUUAAUACCGCAUACGAUCUACGGAUGAAAGCGGGGGACCUUCGGGCCUCGCGCUAUAGGGUUGGCCGAUGGCUGAUUAGCUAGUUGGUGGGGUAAAGGCCUACCAAGGCGACGAUCAGUAGAUGGUCUGAGAGGACGACCAGCCACACUGGGACUGAGACACGGCCCAGACUCCUACGGGAGGCAGCAGUGGGGAAUUUUGGACAAUGGGCGAAAGCCUGAUCCAGCAAUGCCGCGUAUGUGAAGAAGGCCUUCGGGUUGUAAAGCACUUUUGUCCGGAAAGAAAUCCUUGGCUCUAAUACAGUCGGGGGAUGACGGUACCGGAAGAAUAAGCACCGGCUAACUACGUG